CCAACCAUAACUUGAGCGGAUGGAAGAUGUAUGCCGCAGGGUCACUCUCGAUCUCUUUUUUCGAAUGGAUUUGAGGGAGCCUUCAGCCCUUCACAGGAACUUUUUCUUGGAUCUGAUACAAAAGAGAUUGAGAAUUGGGGACUGUUCAUUAGAGGGAUUAGAGUUGAUAUCCAUUGCCAAAUGAAAAAGCACGAAUGGCCAUUUUGAGUCGCUUGGUGACAUGAUGAUUCGAGGUAUGUAUACCUUAUCGCCGACAUGUGUUCCUGUGAUUAUUUGUGUCUCGAUGUAUUUGUUUCCAAGUUGUGUAAUUGUCAUUCUUGUAUCGUUGCAUAAACCUGCUGCUUGGUUGAUGUUGCGUAGUAGC